CCGAGUUUUCCUGCUUCAGGAACUCCCACCCUUGACCAUCCGAUGUUGCUUCGGCGAGACGUUGGAAACAGCCGUUGGCGGAAGAUCAAUUCUGCCGGCGCGAACUCGCCGGAGUCCUAUACUCUGAAUUUGUGUCGUCAGAUAAACAAGCAAUGAAA
rnacentral:misc_RNA from 1 species